rnacentral:rRNA from 1 species
ACGGGUGAGUAAUGUCUGGGGAUCUGCCCGAUAGAGGGGGAUAACCACUGGAAACGGUGGCUAAUACCGCAUAACGUCGCAAGACCAAAGAGGGGGACCUUCGGGCCUCUCACUAUCGGAUGAACCCAGAUGGGAUUAGCUAGUAGGCGGGGUAAUGGCCCACCUAGGCGACGAUCCCUAGCUGGUCUGAGAGGAUGACCAGCCACACUGGAACUGAGACACGGUCCAGACUCCUACGGGAGGCAGCAGUGGGGAAUAUUGCACAAUGGGCGCAAGCCUGAUGCAGCCAUGCCGCGUGUAUGAAGAAGGCCUUCGGGUUGUAAAGUACUCUCAGCGGGGAGGAAGGCGACAGGGUUAAUAACCCUGUCGAUUGACGUUACCCGCAGAAGAAGCACCGGCUAACUCCGUGCCAGCAGCCGCGGUAAUACGGAGGGUGCAAGCGUUAAUCGGAAUUACUGGGCGUAAAGCGCACGCAGGCGGUCUGUUAAGUCAGAUGUGAAAUCCCCGGGCUUAACCUGGGAACUGCAUUUGAAACUGGCAGGCUUGAGUCUUGUAGAGGGGGGUAGAAUUCCAGGUGU